rnacentral:sRNA from 1 species
GUUUUUUUCUUCUUCUUAU